rnacentral:lncRNA from 1 species
UUAUAAUCUAUAUUUUAUUUAAUAUUAAUGAAAAAAUAGUUAAAUAGAAAAAAAUUUAGAAUAAAAACAUUAUCAACCAAGUAAUAUAAACAUAAAUCAUCUAUUUAUUCUUGUUUUUUAUUUGAAAUUAUGAAAUUUCAAUUAUACUAGAUUUAACGGAUGUUUUGCCAUCUUAAAUGAUGAUAUACAAAGAUAGACUAACUUCUCAAGCCUGCCUAAUGUAGAAAGGCUUUAAGAAUGAGUCUGGUUGAAAAAAGGAGUAAUACACAAAAAAUAGUCCAGAAGAAAAUGUAGCAAGUAUAUAAUUUUUACUUAGAUUCUUAUUUUUAUAUUGACUGAUAGAGAUUAUAAGAAAGCUCAAGCCGCUGGUAUAGAAUAUAUAUAAUUUAUAGUGCAAUUUCUGAUGGACAGUUUGUUUUUAUGUAUGGGUAGCCCUCAUCUUAAGAACAGCAAUGAUAAAUUCUGUGAUUGGUCUUUGCAGUUGGCAGAGGGUCCGUCGAUCAUCAUUUCGGUAUUAAGUCCUCGAGUAAUAGUCCGAUAUAUAAAAAAAAUCAUUUUUGUGUCCGAUUCUUUUAUUUUUGUGUUUGUUAAAUUUAUUAUGAUAGAAGUGGAGUGUAAUAAUAAAUAUUGGAAUGGAC